rnacentral:tRNA from 2 species
GGGCGAGUGGCGGAAUGGUAGACGCGAUGGAUUCAAAUCCCAUUGGCCGAAAGGUCGUGAGAGUUCAAGUCUCUCCUCGCCCACCA